rnacentral:rRNA from 1 species
AUGGCGUCGUCGUUGCUGAAGCCACACUCCCACUGCUCCGCUCUGCCGUCCGGGAGAAGCAGCGGCAGCUGCCCCGCGACGGUGCACCUAGUGCAGAGGCCAGCCGGGAGGAGGGGCGACGCUCUGAAGGCGAGGGCGUUCCCGCUGGACGUGGUGCCGCUGAUGGUGACGAUGGUGGAGCACGUCGACAACCAGAGGGACUGGGUGGUCACCAAGUCCAUCUGGCAUCUCAGCGACACGGCCAUCAAGAGCUUCUAUACGUUCUACGCCAUGUUCACGGUCUGGGGCGUCUGCUUCUUCGCGUCCAUGAAGGAUCCGUUCUACGACAGCGAGCAUUACAGGGGGCAGGGGGGUGAUGGCACAGUGCACUGGUACUACGAUCGGCAAGAGGACAUCGAGGCGACCGCGAGGGGGGAUCUGCUGAGGGAGGAGCUGCUUGAGGAGAUCGAGCAGAGGGUCGGAGGGCUGAGGGAGCUCGAGGACACGGGAAUGGAGGGGGAGCUUGAGGAAGCCAAGUAA